AGCGAACGCUGGCGGCAGGCCUAACACAUGCAAGUCGAACGAACUCUUCGGAGUUAGUGGCGGACGGGUGAGUAACACGUGGGAACGUGCCUUUUGGUUCGGAAUAACUCAGGGAAACUUGUGCUAAUACCGAAUGUGCCCUUCGGGGGAAAGAUUUAUCGCCAUUAGAGCGGCCCGCGUCUGAUUAGCUAGUUGGUGAGGUAACGGCUCACCAAGGCGACGAUCAGUAGCUGGUCUGAGAGGAUGCCCAGCCACACUGGGACUGCGACCCGGCCCAGACUCCUACGGGAGGCAGCAGUGGGGAAUCUUGCGCAAUGGGCGAAAGCCUGACGCAGCCAUGCCGCGUGAAUGAUGAAGGUCUUAGGAUUGUAAAAUUCUUUCACCGGGGACGAUAAUGACGGUACCCGGAGAAGAAGCCCCGGCUAACUUCGUG
rnacentral:rRNA from 1 species